ACGGGAGGCAGCAGUGGGGAAUAUUGCACAAUGGGGGAAACCCUGAUGCAGCGACGCCGCGUGAGUGAUGAAGUAUUUCGGUAUGUAAAGCUCUAUCAGCAGGGAAGAAAAUGACGGUACCUGACUAAGAAGCCCCGGCUAACUACGUGCCAGCAGCCGCGGUAGUACGUAGGGGGCAAGCGUUAUCCGGAUUUACUGGGUGUAAAGGGAGCGUAGACGGUGAAGCAAGUCAGAAGUGAAAGCUCGGGGCUCAACCCCGGAACUGCUUUUGAAACUGUUUUACUAGAGUGCAGGAGAGGUAAGCGGAAUUCCUAGUGUAGCGGUGAAAUGCGUAGAUAUUAGGAGGAACACCAGUGGCGAAGGCGGCUUACUGGACUGUAACUGACGUCGAGGCUCGAAAGCGUGGGGAGCAAACAGGAUUAGAUACCCUGGUA
rnacentral:rRNA from 1 species